rnacentral:rRNA from 1 species
AUUGAACGCUGGCGGCAGGCCUAACACAUGCAAGUCGAACGGUAGCACAGAGAGCUUGCUCUCGGGUGACGAGUGGCGGACGGGUGAGUAACGUCUGGGAAACUGCCCGAUGGAGGGGGAUAACUACUGGAAACGGUAGCUAAUACCGCAUAACGUCGCAAGACCAAAGUGGGGGACCUUCGGGCCUCACACCAUCGGAUGGGCCCAGAUGGGAUUAGCUAGUAGGUGGGGUAAUGGCUCACCUAGGCGACGAUCCCUAGCUGGUCUGAGGGGAUGACCAGCCACACUGGAACUGAGACACGGUCCAGACUCCUACGGGAGGCAGCAGUGGGGAAUAUUGCACAAUGGGCGCAAGCCUGAUGCAGCCAUGCCGCGUGUAUGAAGAAGGCCUUCGGGUUGUAAAGUACUUUCAGCGGGGAGGAAGGCGGUGAAGUUAAUAACUUCACCGAUUGACGUUACCCGCAGAAGAAGCACCGGCUAACUCCGUGCCAGCAGCCGCCGUAA